rfam:Aedes aegypti strain Liverpool supercont1.68 genomic scaffold, whole genome shotgun sequence.
GGCUCGGUAGCUUAGUUGGUAAAGCGCUCGUCUAGCAUACAAGAGUUCUGGGUUCAAAUCCCAGCCGAGCAC